AAAAAAUCAGUUCAUAAUUUGCACCUCUUAAUGCAAGUGUUGUUAGGUGCAUCCAAUAUUUUAAGUGAAUAAAUAAAAAUAAAUAAAUGGACGAAAAUAUCUUUCAUUUAAAAUUUAAAAAGGCUCCUCUUCCUGGCUGGACAUUACCACCUCUUUCGUACUUACUGUACCGUUCUGCUAUCCGCUCACACUGUGCUUUCUUCUUCUUUGUUUUGUGGUUGUUUUCACCAUGUUGUUGCUGUUGAGUGCUUCCAUUGUUGGCAUUGAGGAUGUCUUCACUGAUCUUCGCCGUUUUCACCGUCGAGAUUAUGGUUAGAAAUAGAGGUUUAAGGUGUGCCUUAGACAGAGUUAUAGGAAGAGCCCUGAGGAGAGGGGAUAAUCUUGAUUCAGAUGAUGUUUCCCAGCGACAAAUGCCCACAAUAUCCGCACAUAGGCAAGGGAAGUUGUCGUUGUUGCUGAGGAUGCUCCUCACGUGGAUGAUGCAGUUUAAGAGCUAUUCCAACAUGCUAAAGAAGCUGUUAAUGAUGCCGAGGGUUUUUCAGGCAGACCUUGUGACACAUCAGUACUGACUGCCUAUGCUGAUCAUGUUGCAGUCAUUAUUUGAAAUGGAAAGGAACGCCCUCAAUUGAAGUUAUCCUCCCAUGGAAGGAAGGUUCAAAAAUUUUGGAGGUCUACUUCUGAGAUUGAAGGGAUGAUUGCAGCCACAAGAUUAAGUUCUUUGAUCGUAUGUUCAUUGGAUAUUGGCGAUUGGGGAUUUAUAUCCGCUUUUGUCGAAGGGUGACAGAAGGAAACGAGCAGUUUCCAUCGUCCAGUAUGAGAGGUCACCAUCACGCUUGAUGAUGUGGCCUUUUUGCUCCAUCUGCCCAUCAUAGGAGCAUUCCACAGCUUCGCCACAAAUUCAAUUUCAUAAGUGACUGAUCAAGCCCACUGCAAAACAUCAUCUUGAGUAGCAAACAUCUAUAGUGUAAGCCACACAAUUUUACUCUUCAAAGGGACAUUCCUUUUAUUAAAUCACAUUAUUACCUGAGAAGUAUUGAACACCUCAGAACAAUCAACAUAUUUUUUUUCAUUCA